rnacentral:rRNA from 1 species
UUCCAGACUCCUACGGGAGGCAGCAGUGAGGAAUAUUGGUCAAUGGGCGGGAGCCUGAACCAGCCAAGCCGCGUGAAGGAAGAAGGCGCCAGGCGUCGUAAACUUCUUUUGUCGGGGAACAAAGGGCGCCACGCGUGGCGUUGUGAGUGUACCCGAAGAAAAAGCAUCGGCUAACUCCGUGCCAGCAGCCGCGGUAAUACGGAGGAUGCGAGCGUUAUCCGGAUUUAUUGGGUUUAAAGGGUGCGUAGGCGGUCGGAAAAGUCGGGGGUAAAAGCCGGGGGCACAACCCGGGCGAGCCGUUGAAACUGUCGGACUAGAGACGGCGAGAAGUACGCGGAAUGCGCGGUGUAGCGGUGAAAUGCAUAGAUAUCGCGCAGAACUCCGAUUGCGAAGGCAGCGUACCGGCGCCGGACUGACGCUGAGGCACGAAAGCGUGGGUAUCGAACAGGAUUAGAUACCCCUGUA